rnacentral:miRNA from 1 species
UUCUUAGUAUAAGCAUGCUCCAUGAAAUAUUUAGGAUAUAUUUAUACUGAAA